rnacentral:lncRNA from 1 species
GCAACACCAGCCCUCAUCACAGAGGGUGCUGCCAGGGCACAGGGCGAUGGAGCAGACACAGCGCUGGGUGUGGGGGAGGGGUGCCCCUCUUACCAACUCCUCAUGGAAUCAUAUGACGGGAAGAAUUGGGAAAUGCCCCAAGGAAGUACUAAGACUGCUUUUUAUCUCUUCUUACACAUUUUUUAAAAAUUCAUAUUUUAUUAUAUUUUCUAUUUUCUUUCAAGUUUUCAUUUUUCUCAGCACACGUUUGCAGUGCACAAUGACCACGCUCACCCGGGAGGCUGAAGGUGACACGGCACGUCUUCAUUCUUGCUCCAUCCCCUUCCCCCUCUUCUCACCCGUCCCCCCUUCUCUUGGCCCCUUUCCCUUCUGCGAACGAUCUAUCUCUCUGUUUCCUAUUACAAUUCACCUUUUACAAGCCACCUGUGUGUGCCCCUGCCCGUUCACCCUCUCCCCGAGUGUUGUCAACAACCCUGUUCACUGCAGCUCUGAUCAAGAACGUUACACAGCUUAGUUUUACUGAGAAAGCACGGGCAGCAUAUCUCCAAGGCUGCAGCAAGGAUGAGACUAUUCACCCCACUCUCUUCAAGCAACUUGAUGUAAGAGCCUCACCAGUUACAUGAUGCGACCAGCAGGCUUCCGGUUCCCAAACCAUCCCUUCCCAGUGCAGCAAACAAGAGCCAUAAACUGUGGCAAUCAGCCAAGUGUGGUAUGUAGCUUGACUUGCCCUCAUUUGUGUGUGUGUGUGUGUGUGUGUGUGUGUGUGUGAGAGAGAUUUUUGUUCUUUGGUCCUGGGACACAUUAUCAUUUCUGUAUUUGUUUUGUUUAUAUUUGCAAAAUACAAAUUGUGAUUUUCUGCCUGGGAACACCACAAAGUCCUUCCUCACCAAUACUGAGGCCACAGAAAACUCACAGAUUUCUCACAGAGGAAGCUUUAGACUCCUAUUAGAUACAAUAAUAUUCAUAGCACAUUCAUACAAUAAGAUACUCCUGUUUUCCUUUCUGUAAAGUGAAGUAGAAAACUGAGAUCUACCUAAGUACUAGGAAGAGCAAAGUUUAAGGUAUCCUUAUUGACUUCUUCAAAAAUACCUUACAAAAGCCUCUUGAACUAUAAAAGAUAUUUCCAUAAUUUUCUAGAAUUUUCUAUCUAUAUGAUCUACACAGUUAGGGUAUCUUUACAUUAAAGAUACAUUAAAAAUAAUGAUUCCAGAGAUAUGUCCCUUACCCAAAGAAAAGGUUAAAGGCCAUCUUUUAACAGAGCUUCCCAGCCAAUCAGUCUUCACAGAGAGCUGGUACAAGGAAUUAUCUCACAGAGGAUAUGUAUUAUGAGUAGCCGGAAACUUCCUACACUGGUCAGUUUUCUUUCUCCACACUCCUCACCAAUCCCUCAGUAGCAUGUUUUUGGUGACAUGACUGGAUGUAAAAAUUGUUCUUCUUUUCUGGAAACGUCAGGUGUUUUGCCGUGGCAUGGAGGGCUGUUGUUAUUUGUCUAGCCAUCUAAAAUAAGUCCUUUGGGUCCAAGAGCACCUCUACCUUUAAAAGCUGUGAUCACUGCUACCAAAUGCUCCCGGGCGCCGCUCUUCAGAUGAACUGGCUGCGUUCCAGCCAGGACUGGGUCUUUCAGAACCGUCACCAACAGAGCUAUCAAUACCAUUGUUUCCUUUCUAUAGGUGAAGCAGCUGGAGUUCUUUCGUCAUCAGAAUCUCUUCCAUGGCGCUGGAGUGAGCCUGUUAUUCACUGUCCUGGUUUUCCCUAUAAGGAUAGAUCACAGAAGGCUCAUUUGAAAAUGUAAAUAUUUUAUUUGAGAGGGACUCAGUCUAAUAAACUUACUAAACUUGAUCAUGAGGAACAAGAACAGGCCUGGGAAGAAAGAAGCAAGACAGACAGAUGUGUACUGUUGGGUCUAAGACGAAGACCGAGAGACAACAUUUUUGUAAUGCUCUGCAGUCUGGACGGGGUGCUCCAGGGAAGGCAGCCUGGGCCAGCAGGGCACUGCUAGUGUACAGGGUGCUGCGGGGGGCUGGCACAGACUGAGGAUCCCCUGGAGGAAGGGGUGGGUGGUGAGACAGUCAGAAGGCUGCCUACAAGGUUAUUCCACUCGAGGACAGGUCUGUGUUGUCCAAAUAAGGGCCCUGCCUUAUAUCCUAUAAAUAUUAUCUAUCUCCAGAUCUGGGGACCACCGGCCAGGAAGAUGGAUAUGUUGGCACCCCCCCCUUGGGAUCUCGGCAUUUAUGGUAAAUAUGGCAGUCAGGUCACAAUGUCUUCCCUUUAGACAACAUGAAAGAGCAGCAAGAAUUAAACUAACGAUGCACUGCCCAUCCAGCGCUUGUCCAAAUUAUAUUCCAAAACAAUGACUUCCUCCAGAAAUGUGUAUUGCUACAAAACAUUUGGAAGAAAACAUCUGAGAUAAAAUGAUUUUUUGUUUCUUGCACAACCAUACCCUUGGCACUAUGUCAACAUCUACCAUUUCAAAGAAAACAUUGAUAUGAGGACGUCAAAUAUUAAAACAACAAAUCAAGGGGCUGGGGAUUUAGCUCAGUGGCAAAGCGCCUGCCUGGCAAGCGUAAGGUCAUGAGUUCGGUUCCUGGUACCGGAGAAAAACCAAAAAAAAAAAAAAAAAAAACAAACAAAAAAAACAAAUCAUAUGUCUUCUGCAGGAAAAUAAGGAACUAAGCCUUUCAUGUGUUUUUGGCAGGGAUGUGGUAGGCUUAGGAUUUGGAGUGAGACUAUGUUUCUCUUUAACAUGAUAGAAUUGGGGAAAAAGACACGUUAUGUUCAGCACACUCAUCCUUCAGAUGGUGAAACAGUUCCUUGAGAAAUGAGAUGACAAAUGCAUUUUUGGUUUUACAAAAUCGACUCCUGUUUUUCUUCAGUUGGUAUUUAAUUGGCAAUAAGAAUAUUUUCCACAGAGUGAACGAGACACCUGGGGCUCUCAUUGGUAAUGCAUCGGGGCUGUGGGAUCAAUGGCAGAAGAUCAUUUCAACUUCCUUUGAAAGGUAGAAGGGAAGCAGGAUUUGCCAAGCUGGAAGUAGUGUGACAACCACGUAAUGUGGAGCUUUUUCAUGCAGGGCCACAUUAAGCUUCCGGGUGACAUCCAUGUGAGAGUUUGUGUACUAGGGCCACAGCUCCCACCAACUCCUAAAUGGUCACUGAUGUAAAGUAAAAUCAAAGUGAAAGAGUCAGAAACAGAAGUGUAUUUUGGAGAAAACAAAUACCACCACGGAACUGAACAGUAACGGGAGGGAAGCGUUUGCUUACACAAGCACUUUUCUGAGGACCAGGCCCCUGCGGGGGGGGAGGCAGAGCCUCCCUGCCCCAGGAUGCAGCCCCUCACACAGCGAUCUCCAAGUUUUACCUUUCAGUCUCCCCAACCUCAUCGUUUGAUGAUGGAGGCUGACCAGUCCCAACAUGAACAGUCACCAACCUGCAGACCUAGGAGAACUGAUUGCUAAGUUCAGGUCCCCAAACCCAGAAGCUUAAGACUCAGGAAAAGCCAUUCAAAGGUAAGACCACAGCCCAGUUUAGACAAUCAGGAUCCAAUGGGAUUAUUGAGCUAUUCAAUCUUCAACUGAGUUCGUGAAGCCCACCCAGGUAGGGAGGAAAUUCGGAUUUACUCAGGCUACUAACUCAGAUAUUCUUCUCCAUCAGAGACACCACCACAGACACACCCAGAAAAACGUGUGACUGAAUGUCGGGACAUCCUAGUGGAGGUGACGUACAAAACAUGCCAUUGCAGAGAGGUGGUUCUUUCUAACAGGCACACCAGCACCUGCAUAUCAAAUAUCUAUUUUAUCUUUUUUUUUAAAACUACCAGUUCCAUAAACUGUACAGUUCUAAUAAUAACGGCUGGCCUUCUUCACUGA